CAGUCGCCGCGGUAACACGUAGGUGGCAAGCGUUGUCCGGAAUUAUUGGGCGUAAGGGGCUCGCAGGCGGUUUCUUAAGUCUGAUGUGAAAGCCCCCGGCUCAACCGGGGAGGGUCAUUGGAAACUGGGAAACUUGAGUGCAGAAGAGGAGAGUGGAAUUCCACGUGUAGCUGUGAAAUGCGUAGAGAUGUGGAGGAACACCAGUGGCGAAGGCGACUCUCUGGUCUGUAACUGACGCUGAGGAGCGAAAGCGUGGGGAGCGAACAGGAUUAGAUACCCCCGUAGUCCCUGUCUCUUAUAC
rnacentral:rRNA from 1 species